rnacentral:misc_RNA from 2 species
AAUUCUCAAAACAAGUCUUUUGUUAAUUCAAUAGGCCUUUGUUUUGGACUUGGAGGUCUGCAGAUUCACAUCUGCUCCUCUUAAAUAAAUUAGCUGGAUCUCCAUGAACUUGGUUCCACUCGGCGUGAUAAGUAUCACUCGCUGAGGACACCCGUAAAAAGGUGGCCAGGCUUGAGGAUGAGCCGCUUCUAACAGUCCAUUUAAUUGGACAAAUUAAUUUAUG